ACUUAAAGGAAUAGGCGGGGGGUCACAACAAGGGGUGGAUGUUGCGGUUUAAUUCAACUAUACGCGGGGAACCCUACCAGGGCCGACAGCAGUAUGAAGGUCAGUCUAAAUGGCUCACUUGACGCGCUGAGAGGUGGUGCAUGGCGGUCGUCAGCUCGUGCCAUGAGGUGUUCUGUUAAGUCAGAGAACGAGCGAGACCUGCGUCUUCAGUUGCUAUUAUUCUUUCCGGAGAAUAAGCACUCUGAAGAGACUGCAUUCGAAAGGAUGAGGAAGGUGCAGGCUACGGUACGUCUGUAUGCCCCGAAUGUCCUGGGCUACACGCGACAUACACUGGUUAGAACAACGGGUUGCUACUCCGAGAGGAGACGCUAAUCUCUUAAAGCUAAUCUGGUUCGAAUUGAGGGCUGUAACUCGCCCUCAUGAAGCCGAAAUCCCUAGUAAUCGUGUGUUAUUAACGCGCGGUGAAUAAGUCCCUGGCCCUUGCACUCACUGCCUGUCAAGUCAACCGAGCAGGGUUAUGAUGAGGAUCUAUUUUCGGGUAGGUUCAAAUCAUAGCUCAGUGAGGCGGAUUAAGUCAACACAAGGUAUCUGUAGGGGAACCUGCAGAUG
rnacentral:rRNA from 1 species